rnacentral:piRNA from 1 species
UCGGAGGUAGAUUAUAUAUUUGUUUUGGGU